AAAUCAUCAGCUCAACAGUGACAUAUAGGCCUAUGCACUUAGCAGAAUAGAUGACAAGAGAGAGAAGAAGUAAAUCAGUGACCGGAGAUAAAGAAGACACAGCAAUACAGAUGCAUUAUAUCAGUAAUGCACAACAUUCACAGGACCUCAUGAUAAUAGGCUCGUCGGGACACAGAGAAAGGAGCGAGACGCUUGUCAGAGUGGAUACAUCCGUGCCUGACCCGAGGGAGAUGGCUCAGUGCACGACACAUCAGUUACAGGACACCGAGAGACCCUAUCCCCCCUCCUCGCAGGCUAAUGGUUGUCAAGUUAGUGAGGGCCUGUUCUCUUGUCUGGGCCAGGCCUGUUGUCAUGUGAAAUCCAUUAGAGGUCGCAAGCACACAGGAUGGGCGGUCGAUUGAUAAGGCGGGAGGAGAAGUGAGGCAGAAGCAGGGGAAGAAAGGAGAAGCUUUUUUAUCUCCCAACUGUACUGUACUCUCCUUGAGGACUUUGUAAAGAAAACUGAAGUAGAGUGGAAAAUUGAUGGAGAUGUCUUACAUUAUUAUUGUACUUCCAAGCAACGGCUUGGAAGAUUGUAUUCUCAAAUGGUAAGACAGGUAAAAAUAGUCUUCUAUGUAAUCAGAAACAAAAUUGAAGUUCUCUUGCUGUCAACAAAGAAAGGAGAAAUAAGGUUGUUUGAGUCCAAUAUAAUGUCCUCUAAAAUUGUCAUAGGUUGAUAUUAUAUCCCAAAUCCACCAAUGAAAGUAUUUCAACCAACACUUACUCACACAUUACAAUAAUCGCCAAUGGCAACCUAAAUGCUGUACUCAGACAAAGUUUUCCCUUAGUUUUACUGAUAAUGUGUUUAUCAUUUAACUUGUUUAUUCUUUUUCCAUUCUUUUUUAAUUCAUAGCCUGUCUUCCCAAAUGUCACACUUCUUCCAAAUCUUAUUUCUCAAGACUUGACAGUGCUACAAACUGUGGAAGCGUUGCCUUCGGUGACAGCACACUAAGUCAUACUGUGGGUUUCUUGAUUACAUUAAUUCACAGGCAAUUUAGUGGGAAGCCACCGGAUAGUUGAGAACCAAUCCAUAUGCUAUUUAUUUUCUGCCUAUUUUUUCAUUUAUUAUAUUUUAUGCACAAGGGACCCUGUGAACACCCAUCUUUCUGUCGAAUCAGUCAAGGCAGCAGCAUCAUUUUCUCUUUUCUUUUUUCUUUUUUUACCUCCGAGCACAUUAAGUAGGUUUCUUUCUUUAAAGUGUCAUUAAUAAUCAAUCCUGCAUUCUAUUUUUCACGCCUGUUUUCCUUCAUAUAUGAAUGAUAAUUAUUAUCUUUUACUGUCACACAAAUGUAAAAGGGGGUACAAUGCCUCAUUAAAAAAAAAA